GAGUUUGAUCAUGGCUCAGGACGAACGCUGGCGGCGUGCCUAAUACAUGCAAGUAGAACGCUGAGGUUUGGUGUUUACACUAGACUGAUGAGUUGCGAACGGGUGAGUAACGCGUAGGUAACCUGCCUCAUAGCGGGGGAUAACUAUUGGAAACGAUAGCUAAUACCGCAUAAGAGUAAUUAACACAUGUUAGUUAUUUAAAAGGAGCAAUCGCUUCAC
rnacentral:rRNA from 1 species